GAUGAACGCUGGCGGCGUGCCUAAUACAUGCAAGUCGAGCGAACGGACGAGAAGCUUGCUUCUCUGAUGUUAGCGGCGGACGGGUGAGUAACACGUGGAUAACCUACCUAUAAGACUGGGAUAACUUCGGGAAACCGUAGCUAAUACCGGAUAAUAUUUUGAACCGCAUGGUUCAAAAGUGAAAGACGGUCUUGCUGUCACUUAUAGAUGGAUCCGCGCUGCAUUAGCUAGUUGGCAAGGUAACGGCUUACCAAGGCAACGAUGCAUAGCCGACCUGAGAGGGUGAUCGGCCACACUGGAACUGAGACACGGUCCAGACUCCUACGGGAGGCAGCAGUAGGGAAUCUUCCGCAAUGGGCGAAAGCCUGACGGAGCAACGCCGCGUGAGUGAUGAAGGUCUUCGGAUCGUAAAACUCUGUUAUUAGGGAAGAACAUAUGUGUAAGUAACUGUGCACAUCUUGACGGUACCUAAUCAGAAAGCCACGGCUAACUACGUGC
rnacentral:rRNA from 1 species